rnacentral:snRNA from 1 species
AGCUUUGCGCAGUGGCAGUAUCGUAGCCAAUGAGGUUUAUCCGAGGCGCAAUUAUUGCUAAUUGAAAACAAUACACUGAAGACUAGAAAACAUUGCUGAAAGUAAUUAGGAAGGUCUAAUAAAAU